rnacentral:rRNA from 2 species
CCGAGUUGUAAUUUGCAGAUUGUGCUUUUGGCGAGGCGCCUUCCGAGUUCCCUGGAACGGGACGCCACAGAGGGUGAGAGCCCCGUCUGGUCGGCCGCCGAGCCUCUGUAAAGCACCUUCGACGAGUCGAGUAGUUUGGGAAUGCUGCUCAAAACGGGAGGUAUAUGUCUUCUAAAGCUAAAUACCGGCCAGAGACCGAUAGCGCACAAGUAGAGUGAUCGAAAGAUGAAAAGCACCUUGAAAAGGGGGUUAAACAGUACGUGAAAUUGUUGAAAGGGAAGCGCUCGCGACCAGACUUGGGCCCGGCGGAUCACCCAGCGUCCUCGCUGGGGCACUCCGCCCCGUCCCAGGCCAGCAUCGUUUCGCGCCGGGGGACAAAGGCGGCGGGAACGUGGCUCCCCCGGGAGUGUUAUAGCCCGCCGCGCAAUGCCCCGGGGCGGAACGAGGACCCGCGCAUCUGCAAGGAUGCUGGCGUAAUGGUCGCCAGCGACCCGUCUUGAAACACGGACCAAGGAGUCGUCUUCGUAUGCGAGUGUUCGGGUGUCAAACCCCUACGCGUAAUGAAAGUGAACGCGGGUGAGAGCUUCGGCGCAUCAUCGACCGAUCCUGAUGUUCUCGGAUGGAUUUGAGUAGGAGCAUACGGGGCCGGACCCGAAAGAAGGUGAACUAUGCCUGUGUAGGGUGAAGCCAGAGGAAACUCUGGUGGAGGCUCGCAGCGGUUCUGACGUGCAAAUCGAUCGUCAAACAUGGGCA